CAGCCGCCGCGGUAAUACGUAGGUCCCGAGCGUUGUCCGGAUUUAUUGGGCGUAAAGCGAGCGCAGGCGGUUAGAUAAGUCUGAAGUUAAAGGCUGUGGCUUAACCAUAGUACGCUUUGGAAACUGUUUAACUUGAGUGCAAGAGGGGAGAGUGGAAUUCCAUGUGUAGCGGUGAAAUGCGUAGAUAUAUGGAGGAACACCGGUGGCGAAAGCGGCUCUCUGGCUUGUAACUGACGCUGAGGCUCGAAAGCGUGGGGCGCAAACAGGAUUAGAUACCCCCGUAGUCCCUGUCUCUUAUACA
rnacentral:rRNA from 1 species